rnacentral:lncRNA from 1 species
GGAGAAAAAAAAGGAAAAAGAAGCUCACAACGGGUGCCGCAAUGUCAAAGCCUUACGGGAAAACAGUCCCCAAUAUUAAGGUCUUGCAGGUACUUGUGCCCUUCAAUUACUGAGAUUAAGCCACUAGAAGUCACAUUCUCACACCGAGAAACAUCAACAGUCUGCAAACAAGCAUACGCAUUAAUCAAUAACUGCCCCCUUAAUUCUCCACAUGAUUUGCUAAUCUGCAGUGGCAUUGCUACAUAUAUCAGGAUUUAACUGUUGUGCAUCUCUCUAACGAAUGGCAUUUGUUGGGAGAUUAUUUGAAAACGCCAACGAAUAUGAGAAGGAUUUUCAAAUUCUGGUCUAUAUUAUUUUCCUCUUGUGCCGUAGAAUCCUGCGGCUAUUUUGACAUGCAACUGAUGCUUUUGUGAUAAACAGCGAAGAAAAAGCAAAACGGCGAAAAGAUGUACCAAGAUUUACCUGCAAUGAGUUGCUCCCAUUGUUGAGAAAUUGUAAUCCUUCAUCAUUUAUAUGGGAGCAUCCUACCAUGCUCAGAUCUUCCAGCUUUCGAAGGGAGGAGACAAAUUGAAGUGAUCUAUUUGUUAUCUGAAAAGGAGAAAGAAGAAGUCACAGCAGGUAAGAGCUCCAUUAGAUACAAAGAUUCCUAAGAUCAACAGCAAAAAUUGAGAUUUUAGCGCUCAGAUCAAUAGUUCUGUCAACUUCACUGCUUCCUAGUUAACAUAUAAUGUCGUCUCAACAGCUGGUACCACUAGAAGCCCAAAAACUCGGAGGAGAAACAAAAGAGAACAGAAUAAAUGCGGAUCGGAUCAUUGUACACAAUUGCAUUCGCCACAGUUUCCCAAAGAUCCAAGGAGGAGGACAAAGACUUGGGGCUUCACCUUG